CGCGAGGAGGAGGAGGAGGAGGAGGGAUGAGGCGCGCGGAGGGGAAAUGGCUGCCGAAAACAAGCCGGAAGGGUUGAAAAGGAUAAGGAAUCCAGAGCGGAUGAUUAGAAUCGCCGUGGGAUACACAGGACAUGCCCCUCCCAAGAGUGAUGACACUGACACCAACGGUGAGCCUGGCCAGUUGAAGAUCUACCUACCUAAGAAGCUGUUGGAGUGUUUGCCCAAAUGUUCCUCUCUGCCCAAGGAGCGCCACCGCUGGAACACCAAUG